AGGACGUGCUCAGAACAGGGAGCCUGAAGAAUGGCUUCUCUCUGUUUAUAACAACGCCAACAGGAAUAUGGGGUCACGUAACGAGGGGCACAAAACUUGUGGCGUCCCUACGAAUCAAUUCCUAAACAC